CGCGUAGGCGGUCUGAUAAGUCAGUUGUGAAAGCCCGGGGCUCAACCCCGGAAGUGCAAUUGAAACUGUCAGGCUUGAGUAUGGUAGAGGGAAGUGGAAUUCCAGGUGUAGCGGUGAAAUGCGUAGAUAUCUGGAGGAACACCGGUGGCGAAGGCGACUUCCUGGACCAAUACUGACGCUGAGGCGCGAAGGUGUGGGUAGCAAACAGGAUUAGAUACCCUGGUAGUCC
rnacentral:rRNA from 1 species